rnacentral:lncRNA from 1 species
AUCUACUGGAGGAGGAAGUAGACAAUGUGGAUGUGACUGGAAGAAUCUACUGGAGGAGGAAGUAGACAAUGUGGAUGUGACUGGGAGAAUCUACUGGAGGAGGAAGUAGACAAUGUGGAUGUGACUGGGAGAAUCUACUGGAGGAGGAAGUAGACAAUGUGGAUGUGACUGGGAGAAUCUACUGGAGGAGGAAGCAGACAAUGUGGAUGUGACUGGGAGAAUCUACUGGGGAAGGAAGCAGACAAUGUGGAUGUGACUGGGAGAAUCUACUGGGGAAGGAAGCAGACAAUGUGGAUGUGACUUGGAGAAUCUACUGGGGAAGGAAGCAGACAAUGUGGAUGUGACUGGGAGAAUCUACUGGGGAAGGAAGCAGACAAUGUGGAUGUGACUGGGAGAAUCUACUGGAGGAGGAAGUAGACAAUGUGGAUGUGAGGGAAACAAUCUACUGGAGGAGGAAGUAGACAAUGUGGAUGUGACUGGGAGAAUCUACUGGAGGAGGAAGUAGACAAUGUGGAUGUGACUGGAAGAAUCUACUGGAGAAGGAAGCAGACAAUGUGGAUGUGACUGGGAGAAUCUACUGGAGGAGGAAGCAGACAAUGUGGAUGUGACUGGGAGAAUCUACUGUGGAAGGAAGUAGACAAUGUGGAUGUGACUUGGAGAAUCUACUGGAGGAGGAAGUAGACAAUGUGGAUGUGACUGGGAGAAUCUACUGUGGAAGGAAGCAGACAAUGUGGAUGUGACUGGGAGAAUCUACUGGGGAAGGAAGUAGACAAUGUGGAUGUGACUGGAAGAAUCUACUGGGGAAGGAAGUAGACAAUGUGGAUGUGACUUGGAGAAUCUACUGGGGAAGGAUGUAGACAAUGUGGAUGUGACUGGGAGAAUCUACUGGGGAAGGAAGCAGACAAUGUGGAUGUGACUGGGAGAAUCUACUGGAGGAGGAAGUAGACAAUGUGGAUGUGACUGGGAGAAUCUACUGUGGAAGGAAAUAGACAGUGUGGAUGUGACUGGGAGAAUCUACUGGAGGAGGAAGUAGACUAUGUGGAUGUGACUGGAAGAAUCUACUGGAGAAGGAAGUAGACAAUGUGGAUGUGACUUUGAGAAUCUACUGGGGAAGGAAGUAGACAAUGUGGAUGUGACUGGGAGAAUCUACUGGGGAAGGAAGCAGACAAUGUGGAUGUGACUGGGAGAAUCUACUGGAGGAGGAAGUAGACAAUGUGGAUGUGACUGGGAGCAUCUACUGUGGAAGGAAAUAGACAGUGUGGAUGUGACUGGGAGAAUCUACUGUGGGAGGAAGUAGACAAUGUGGAUGUGACUGGAAGAAUCUACUGGGGAAGGAAGCAGACAAUGUAGAUGUGACUUGGAGAAUCUACUGGGGAAGGAAGCAGACAAUGUGGAUGUGACUGGGAGAAUCUACUGGGGAAGGAAGCAGACAAUGUGGAUGUGACUGGGAGAAUCUACUGGGGAAGGAAGCAGACAAUGUGGAUGUGACUUGGAGAAUCUACUGGAGGAGGAAGUAGACAAUGUGGAUGUGACUGGGAGAAUCUACUGUGGAAGGAAAUAGACAGUGUGGAUGUGACUGGGAGAAUCUACUGUGGGAGGAAGUAGACAAUGUGGAUGUGACUGGAAGAAUCUACUGGGGAAGGAAGCAGACAAUGUAGAUGUGACUUGGAGAAUCUACUGGGGAAGGAAGCAGACAAUGUGGAUGUGACUGGGAGAAUCUACUGGGGAAGGAAGCAGACAAUGUGGAUGUGACUGGGAGAAUCUACUGGAGGAGGAAGUAGACAAUGUGGAUGUGACUGGGAGCAUCUACUGGAGGAGGAAGUAGACAAUGUGGAUGUGACUGGGAGAAUCUACUGGGGAAGGAAGUAGACAAUGUGGAUGUGACUGGAAGAAUCUACUGGGGGAGGAACUAGACAAUGUGGAUGUGACUGGGAGAAUCUACUGGAGGAGGAAGUAGACAAUGUGGAUGUGACUGGGAGAAUCUACUGGAGGAGGAAGUAGACAAUGUGGAUGUGACUGGGAGAAUCUACUGUGGAAGGAAGCAGACAAUGUGGAUGUGACUGGGAGAAUCUACUGGAGGAGGAAGUAGACAAUGUGGAUGUGACUGGGAGAAUCUACUGGAGGAGGAAGCAGACAAUGUGGAUGUGACUGGGAGAAUCUACUGGGGAAGGAAGCAGACAAUGUGGAUGUGACUGGAAGAAUCUACUGGAGGAGGAAGUAGACAAUGUGGAUGUGACUGGGAGAAUCUACUGGGGAAGGAAGCAGACAAUGUGGAUGUGACUGGGAGAAUCUACUGGGGGAGGAAGUAGACAAUGUGGAUGUGACUGGGAGAAUCUACUGGAGGAGGAAGUAGACAAUGUGGAUGUGACUGGGAGAAUCUACUGGAGGAUGAAGUAGACAAUGUGGAUGUGACUGGGAGAAUCUACUGGGGAAGGAAGCAGACAAUGUGGAUGUGACUGGGAGAAUCUACUGGAGGAGGAAGUAGACAAUGUGGAUGUGACUUGGAGAAUCUACUGGAGGAGGAAGUAGACAAUGUGGAUGUGACUGGGAGAAUCUACUGGG